rnacentral:rRNA from 1 species
GACAGAGGGUGCAAACGUUGUUCGGAUUUACUGGGCGUAAAGCGCGUGUAGGCGGCCUUGCAAGUUGGAUGUGAAAGCCCACGGCUCAACCGUGGAAGCGCAUCCAAAACUGCAUCGCUCGAGUCUCGGAGAGGAAGGUGGAAUGCUUGGUGUAGAGGUGAAAUUCGUAGAUAUCAAGCAGAACACCUGCGGCGAAGGCGGCCGUGUGGACGAUGACUGACGCUGAGACGCGAAAGCGUGGGGAGCAAACAGG